AUACGGGGGGUGCAAGCGUUAAUCGGAAUUACCGGGCGUAAAGCGCGCGUAGGCGGUUUGCUCAGUCGGAUGUGAAAGCCCAGGGCUCAACCUUGGAACUGCAUACGAUACUGGCAAACUAGAGUGUGAGAGAGGAUAGUGGAAUUUCCGGUGUAGCGGUGAAAUGCGUAGAUAUCGGAAGGAACAUCAGUGGCGAAGGCGACUGUCUGGCUCAACACUGACGCUGAGGUGCGAAAGCGUGGGUAGCAAACAGGAUUAGAAACCCGAGUAGUCC
rnacentral:rRNA from 1 species